UACGAAGGGUGCAAGCGUUACUCGGAAUUACUGGGCGUAAAGCGUGCGUAGGCGGUUUGUUAAGUCCGUUGUGAAAGCCCUGGGCUCAACCUGGGAAUUGCAGUGGAUACUGGCGAGCUAGAGUGCGGUAGAGGAUGGUGGAAUUCCCGGUGUAGCGGUGAAAUGCGUAGAGAUCAUGAGGAAGACCAGUGGCGAAGGCGGGUCUCUGGACAGUUCCUGACACUGAGACACGAAGGCCAGGGGAGCAAACGGG
rnacentral:rRNA from 1 species